GGUCUCUGAUUGGCCAAGAGAAGGUCUUACCCACUUGCUUAACUUCUUGAGCACUUCUUAGACAGCCGGCAAGAAGAAAGUUCGACGAUGUUUUUAAAGCUAUGAAUUUGCAACUUUCGUUUCUACGAAAUUCCGGUAAUGCAGUACAGCACCUGUCUGAAGACCUGCCCUCCCCUCCGGCUUAGCGGUCAAGACCCAUGAGGGAAAGGACUGCACUCUCAAGAUAUUUGUCCAUAUAAGGUAAUCAGAACCUUGGAAAAAUCGUUUGCAAGUUAUAAACGGAGUACUAUGAUGUACUGGAGACUUUAAAAGCAGACUGCUGAAGUAACCAAAGGAAGGCCUCAUAAAAGAAUUACGUAAGCCUUCAGACUGAAAUCAUGGUAGGAGUGGUUUAUAUUCUUCAUUCAUGAUUUUGGUGUCACAGUUCCCUUGUUAUCAGAAAACCAGUGGAGGAAAUCGAAGGGUGGCUAUAGGCCAUGUCUGCCUUUCUGUCUCCCUGAUGUCUUGAUGUGAAUAUUUCCAGUUUCCUUCAAAGGUUGAAGUUGUCCAGGACCUUUCAAAAGGUUGGCCAGGCAAGAGAAGAGCGAGAGAGAAAAAACAGCGGUACUUACUAUACUGUUAAUGAGAGGAUCUGAAAACAAGUAGACUGCUAGCAGCUAGAGCACGACAGCAAGGUGACUCGGAGGAGAGCACGAUAGCAAAAAGACAAGGACCAGAGCACGAUAGCAAAAAGACAAGGAGCAGAGCACGAUAGCAAAAAGAC